rnacentral:rRNA from 1 species
UGUGAGCGUAUACCAAAGUUGUUGCAGUUAAAACGCUCGUAGUCGGAAUUUGGCAGUUCCGGAUGUGUGCACGUCGCGUGCGCACUUCGCGGGGAUUGCUUUUGUGGUCUUGCGUAGGAUGAGGCACUUUUAUUAGUGAACGUCCUCACGCAACCACUUUUUACUGUGAGAAAAUCAGAGUGCUCAAAGCAGGCAUUUGCCGUGAAUGUAUUAGCAUGGAAUAAUAGAAUAGGACUUGGUUCUAUUUUGUUGGUUUGUUGGGACUGAGUAAUGAUUAAGAGGGACAGUUGGGGGCAUUUGUAUUUCGGUGCUAGAGGUGAAAUUCUUAGAUUACCGAAAGACAAACUGCUGCGAAAGCGUCUGCCAAGGAUGUUUUCAUUGA